CUGGGGUGGAGGAGAGAUUGGGCGCAGUGAAAAGUGCAAGGGUGUUCUGUGGUGUGGGUCACAGUGGGGCUGGCCUGUCAUGUGGUGUGGGCCUGCUGAUGGGACGGGUGGACAGUGAGGCUCUGUUUUAAGGUCCUGGAGGCUUUCAAGUGGUGAGGUCAAGUAGGCAGUCAGGUAUGAGUCUUGAGCUGAAUGGAAGUCUGUGCCGGAGAGAGACUUUGGGAGUCAAGGUGCUGGGGAUGGUAUCUAAGGUAAGCGAUGGCCUAGGCCUAGGCAGAUUGCAAAUGGAGAGGAAGGGGGCCGAGACCAGCCCCUGAUGCUUAGAGUUGGGUGGAGGAGGCACAGAGUGGGAGGAAAAGCAGGAGGCUCAGUGCCAGGAGCUGACUGAGCAGGGAGCGGCCUACAAUGGAGGCGACCACUGUGAAGGACGAUGGGGAGAGGACGAGGCACCCACUGUGCUCGGCAGGCAGCGCAGAGGCUGUUGGUGACUUGGACAAGAGCAGUUUCAGCCCAGCCGGGAGGGAGUGGCAGAGGCCAGAGGGAGUGCAGCCUCGUGAGCAGGCAGCUCCGGAGAAGCUGGGCUCUGAAAGACAGCAGAGAAACGGGGCGCAGUCUUGUAUCAUCUCAUGUCAGCAUCGUGACUCUGGCCCGCAUCCCACUGAGCAACCCCAACUCCUCAUGGGAGUUCAUGGAAGCCACGGCCACCCAGCAUUGCCACAGCAAGAAGGCUCAGGAGGUGCAUAACUGAUCUGCAGAUGAACCCAGCACCUACUCAGGAAUGGCUGGAGCCGCAGCAGCUACCUUAUGACCGUGGGAUACAAGCCAAGAGAAUCACAGAGAUGCCAUCUUCCACAGAGCAGAGCUGCUAAAUCAACACUUCUAAUUCCCUCCAGACUUAACAUAUGAGAAUUCGGCUGUUACCCAACCAGCCAAAUGUAUGCUUGCCCGGCUAACUUAAAGUGCUGUGGAGGAACCCAAAUGGAAUCAAGGAGUGGAACAUAAAAAUCGGUUUCUUAUGCCUCUGCACUUCACCUUUCUCCUGUUCAUCCCACUCUGCCAUCAUUGCCUGCUUGCCUCCGAAUUGCCCACGACAGUGCAGUCUGGGCACGGAUCACACCUCCCAUGCAGCGGUGGCUUUGUGAUCUGUCCACCUGGGUAAGCUGAACCACACUUCCCAGAAUUCCCUUCCCGUGUGUUUCCGGUUAGAGUGGAGCACAGAGGAGAAACUUGUGGAAGGUUUGGAGGUGGGAAGUGAAGCAGCAGUCAUUUUACAGCUCACACGAAUUGUGGCUUCUCUGCUGGCUCACCUCAGCAGAGGCAGGAACUGACAUGGGGCCGGGUGCAGUGGCUCACGCCUGUAAUCCCAACACUUUGGAGAGGCCAAGGCAGGUGGAUUGCUUGAGACCGGGAGUUCAAGACCAGCCUGGGCAACAUGGCAAAACCCUUCUCUACAAAAAAUACAAACAUUAGCCAGGUGUGGUGGCUCAUGCCUGUAGUCCUAGCUACUUGGGAGGCUGAGUUGGGAGGAUUUGCUUGAGACCAGGAAGGUCAAGGCUGCAGGGAGCUGAGAUUGGGCCAUGACACUCCAGCCUGGGCAACAGAGUGAGACCCUGUCUCAAAAAAACAAAAAAGAACUGACACAGACGGAUGUGUCUGCCUUCAAGGGCUUCCACUUGGGCUUGUCCUCCCUUACUUUAUAUCCGUCUGUCCUUCCCGAUUGUCUGCAGAGCCUGCUUAAGCAGCCCCAGUGCCAGUGACUGUGUAAGGUCAAAUUCCCACAACAAAUCUCUUCAAACAAGUACCUCUUAGUGGUUCUGCUUUUCUGAUGAAACCCUGAUGGGUACACACUCAUUUAUUCAUUCAACCAAAAAAUAUUAACUGAUAAAAAAUACUGAACACUACCAUGCACCAGAUACUAGGUGCUAGGUAGUGAAUAAAACAAAGUUCCUGCCACCAUGGUGUGAGGUGUACUGUCAUAUCCCCAAGAUAUACCCCACUGCUGAAUGAGCGUCUGAGGACCAGGUGCUGGUGCUGACUCCUCUGUUGACACCUGUGUGACUUUGGAUCAGAAUCCUUUAAUCUCUCCACAUCUAGAUUUCUUCAUUAGUAAACUGGGGUGAGCAACCUCCCAAUCUACUUCUCAUAUAAAUGCAGGUGGGGCCGGGCACGGUGGC
rnacentral:lncRNA from 10 species